rnacentral:misc_RNA from 1 species
UCUCCGUUGGUGAACCAGCGGAGGGAUCAUUACAGAGUCGUAAAACACUCCCAAACCAUUGUGAACUUACCAUUUGUUGCCUCGGCAGAACCUACCCUGUAGCGGGCUGCCGGCGGACCUCUAAACUCUUGUUAUACUAUUGUAAUCUGAGCGUCUUAUUUUAAUAAGUCAAAACUUUCAACAACGGAUCUCUUGGUUCUGGCAUCGAUGAAGAACGCAGC